rnacentral:rRNA from 1 species
GACGAACGCUGGCGGCGUGCUUAACACAUGCAAGUCGAACGAUGAAGCCGGAGCUUGCUCUGGUGAAUUAGUGGCGAACGGGUGAGUAACACGUGAGUAACCUGCCCUUGACUCUGGGAUAACUGCUAGAAAUGGUAGCUAAUACCGGAUACGACCCUCGGAGGCAUCUCCAGGGGGUGGAAAGAAUUUCGGUCAAGGAUGGACUCGCGGCCUAUCAGCUAGUUGGUGAGGGAACGGCUCUCCAAGGCGACGACGGGUAGCCGGCCUGAGAGGGUGACCGGCCACACUGGGACUGAGACACGGCCCAGACUCCUCCGGGAGGCAGCAGUGGGGAAUAUUGCACAAUGGGCGCAAGCCUGAUGCAGCAACGCCGCGUGAGGGAUGACGGCCUUCGGGUUGUAAACCUCUUUUAGUAGGGAAGAAGCGAAAGUGACGGUACCUGCAGAAAAAGCACCGGCUAACUACGUGCCAGCCGCCGCCGUAA